rnacentral:rRNA from 1 species
ACUCCUACGGGAGGCAGCAGUGGGGAAUAUUGCACAAUGGGGAAACCCUGAUGCAGCCAUGCCGCGUGUGUGAAGAAGGCCUCGGUUGUAAAGCACUUCUAGUAGGGAGGAAGGUAGUGUAGUUAACACCUGCAUAUUUGUACGUUACCUACUAGAAGAAGCACCGGCUAACUCCGUGCCAGCAGCCGCGGUAAUACGGAGGGGUGCGAGCGUUAAUCGGAAUUACUGGGCGUAAAGCGCAUGCAGGCGGCCUGUUAAGUCAGAUGUGAAAGCCCGGGGGCUUAACCUCGGAAUUGCAUUUGAAACUGGCAGGCUAGAGUCUUGUAGAGGGGGUAGGAAUUUCAGGUGUAGCGGUGAAAUGCGUAGAGAUCUGAAGGAAUACCAGUGGCGAAGGCGGCCCCCUGG